rnacentral:tRNA from 1 species
GGGAAGGUGGCUCAGUGGUAGAGCACUUGCCUUGUAUGCCUGAGGCCCUGGGUUCGAUUCCUCACCACCACA